GCAUGGCUGUCGUCAGCUCGUGUCGUGAGAUGUUGGGUUAAGUCCCGCAACGAGCGCAACCCUUGCCUUUAGUUGCCAGCAGUUCGGCUGGGCACUCUAAGGGACUGCCGGUGUUAAACCGGAGGAGUGGGGAUGACGUCAAGUCCUCAUGGCCUUUAUGACCAGGGCUACACACGUACUACAAUGGCCGAUACAAAGGGCAGCGACACUGCGAGGUGAAGCCAAUCCCGUAAAAUCGGUCUCAGUCCGGAUUGGAGUCUGCAACUCGACUCCAUGAAGUUGGAAUCGCUAGUAAUCGUGGAUCAGCAUGCCACGGUGAAUACGUUCCCGGGCCUU
rnacentral:rRNA from 1 species